rnacentral:rRNA from 1 species
GACAGAGGUGCCGAGCGUUAGGCGGAAUCACUGGGCUUAAAGCGUGUGUAGGCGGAUGCCUAAGUACCUUGUGAAAUCCCACGGCUCAACCGUGGAACUGCUUGGUAUACUGGGUGUCUUGAGCCAUCUAGGGGCUACCGGAACAAAUGGUGGAGCGGUGAAAUGCGUAGAUAUCAUUUGGAACGCCAAUGGUGAAAACAGGUAGCUGGGGAUGUGCUGACGCUGAGACACGAAAGCCAGGGGAGCAAACGGG